ACCAAUACUAGCCCGCACCACACACAAUUCAAUUAUCACCCCCCCCCCCCCAAAACAUUUACUAUAUUAAAGUAUAGGAGAUAGAAAUUCUAAUAGGCGCUAUAGAGGUAGUACCGUAAGGGAAAACUGAAAGAUCAAUUUAAAGUAAAAAACAGCAAAGCUUACCCCUUGUACCUUUUGCAUAAUGAUUUAACCAGAAUACUUUGACAAAGAGAACUUAAGCCAAAAACCCCGAAACCAGACGAGCUACCCAAGAGCAGCCAUAGAGCAAACUCAUCUAUGUGGCAAAAUAGUGAGAAGACUUAUGGGUAGUGGUGAAAAGCCUACCGAGCCUGGUGAUAGCUGGUUGUCCAAAAUAGAAUUUUAGUUCAACUUUAAGCCAUGCCUAAAAAACACAUAAAUUAAAUGCAGACUUAAAAUAUAAUCUAAAAGGGUACAGCCUUUUAGAAACAGGAUACAACCUUAAUUAGAGAGUAAGCCUAAAAAUUCACAUAGUCGGCCUAAAAGCAGCCAUCAAUUAAGAAAGCGUUAAAGCUCAAAUACCCCCACAAUCCUAAUCCACAAAAUUACCAGCAAACCCCUAAUAUAAUAUUGGACCACUCUAUUUGAUAUAUAGAAGAGACACUGUUAAUAUGAGUAACAAGAACUAGAUUCUCCCUGCACAAGCCUAUAUCAGAACGGAUAUCCACUGAUAGUUAACAACAAAAUAAACCCAACCCAACAACUAAAUCACUUAUUAACUCAACUGUUAAUCCAACACAGGAGUGCACCAAGGGAAAGAUUAAAAGAAGUAAAAGGAACUCGGCAAACACAAACCCCGCCUGUUUACCAAAAACAUCACCUCUAGCAUAACCACUAUUAGAGGCACUGCCUGCCCAGUGACAUCCGUUAAACGGCCGCGGUACCCUGACCGUGCAAAGGUAGCAUAAUCAUUUGUUCUCUAAAUAAGGACUUGUAUGAAUGGCCACACGAGGGUUUAACUGUCUCUUACUUCCAAUCAGUGAAAUUGACCUUCCCGUGAAGAGGCGGGAAUACAAAAAUAAGACGAGAAGACCCUAUGGAGCUUUAAUUAACUAACCCAUAAAUUAAAUCACCACAAUCCCAAGGGAGCUAAACCAAUUAUUUACUGAGUUAGCAAUUUAGGUUGGGGCGACCUCGGAAUACAAAAAAACUUCCGAGUGAUUUUUAACCAAGACUAACAAGUCGAAGUUUAAUAUCUUCAGUGAUCCAAUAUAAUUGAUCAACGGAACAAGUUACCCUAGGGAUAACAGCGCAAUCCUAUUUGAGAGUCCAUAUCGAUAAUAGGGUUUACGACCUCGAUGUUGGAUCAGGACAUCCAAAUGGUGCAGCCGCUAUUAAUGGUUCGUUUGUUCAACGAUUAAAGUCCUACGUGAUCUGAGUUCAGACCGGAGUAAUCCAGGUCGGUUUCUAUCUAUUCUGCGUUCCUCCCAGUACGAAAGGACAAGAGAAACAAGGCCAACUUGACACGAGCGCCUUAAAAUUAAUAGAUGACAUAAUAUCAAUCUAAUAAUCAGCAACAUUUAUAUAAUCCAAGAACAGGAAUAUU
rnacentral:rRNA from 1 species